UCAUUGCUGGCGUUCGAACGGCAAGCCGCCUGUGGUAUGCCACCUGUGUCCGACAUCAGACCACUGACGGUUACAAAACACACAAGGCAUCGGUGGAUUUUGGUUGGCAAUCCGACAUAGUGCACGAGUACUCUGCAGGGUCCAAACAGCGGCAUGCUACCUGACAAUCCAUCUGCGUGAGAGCCAGGUUACAUGCUACCAAUGGAGGAGGACCGCCUACUCAUUUGGUGCCAGCAUCGUUUGCAUCAGAUAAAUCACAACAAAGAUAUGGUGACCCAAGACCCACGGUUAUAUAAGGAGGUGUAUGAAGAAACGACAGCAUAGAGGACCCAGCACAUCCCCUCACAGAUUCCAUGCCUUUCAAAAUAUUAGAACAAGAUUUCAAGGCAUUUUCCUUAAAGAACUUGCAACAUUUCAGGAGUGCGUCACCAUUUGGGUUUUCAUUUUGUACAAUACAUCACCUAACACCAAGAACGCUACAUUUUGUAAGCUAUGUUUCUUGCAUUGCCAGUAACCAAUAUUUAAAAGAAAAAAGAAUGUGUAUAUAUAAAUUGAUAUCUUAUUUGUCAUUAUUUACACUUUCAUUACUGUACAUUGGAAAAAAAUAGACAGUGUUUUCUUUUCACAAUAAAAUUGUAUUUACAUAUGUUCCAAUUACUUGUGUACACCAUUAUUUACACCAUUUGUUCAAUAUUCGAUUCGAUAUUGUGACAAGAUUCCACUUCUUUGUUCCUAAUGGAUGAUGGUUAGAUUCUGAACUAAUGCUGUGUUACAUGUUCCAUUAUGUCUAUGAAUCUGUCAUUAGGGAGAGUCAGUCACAAAAAGCCUCGCUCACAACCAGUAGCAUGAAGUACCUUAAAACCAUAGGUGGUUUUGUAACUGAUGUCAAAUGUAAGGACUGUUGUUGACUGCUGCCUCAUUAGGCUUUGUCCCAAACCCAGAGCAGACAGUCUCGUUAAUGAAAGUGGCACAUC